GUAUCCAAUAUGAUGCUGAAAAGGAAGAGAAACAGCUGCAGGAAAACAAACAGAAAGAACUACUCCGAAUUGAAGAGGCAUUGCAAAAAGCAGCAAUGAAAGUUCUGAAGAGGUGUCAGAGGACUCGAAACAUUAACUGUGUUUUCUCUCUGCAGAUAGUGCCAGACCUGCUGAGUUUCUCCAGCAUUUUCUGCUCUUUGUUUAAAAAAUGUUUGGCUGUAGUUAGAAUUUUUGCUGCUUGUUAAAACAGUCAGGAUAAUGGAUACUGUCAGUUUUGAGCAAGGAGAUUCUCAAACCUCUGUGAUAUAAUUAAAUUACUGAAUUACGAACUGAGCAGUUGAAUCUUUAUUGUGACUCCUGCUUCAUUGUACAAAAAUAAAACCCAUUUAAAAUAGA